UUAGGAUAAGGGGUUAGAGUCAGGUUUUGGGGUAAGGGUUGGUUAGGAUAAGGGGUUAGAGUCAGGUUUUGGGGUAAGGGUUGGUUAGGAUAAGGGGUUAGAGUCAGGUUUUGGGGUAAGGGUUGGUUAGGAUAAGGGGUUAGAGUCAGGUUUUGGGGUAAGGGUUGGUUAGGAUAAGGGGUUAGAGUCAGGUUUUGGGGUAAGGGUUGGUUAGGAUAAGGGGUUAGAGUCAGGUUUUGGGGUAAGGGUUGGUUAGGAUAAGGGGUUAGAGUCAGGUUUUGGGGUAAGGGUUGGUUAGGAUAAGGGGUUAGAGUCAGGUUUUGGGGUAAGGGUUGGUUAGGAUAAGGGGUUAGAGUCAGGUUUUGGGGUAAGGGUUGGUUAGGAUAAGGGGUUAGAGUCAGGUUUUGGGGUAAGGGUUGGUUAGGAUAAGGGGUUAGAGUCAGGUUUUGGGGUAAGGGUUGGUUAGGAUAAGGGGUUAGAGUCAGGUUUUGGGGUAAGGGUUGGUUAGGAUAAGGGGUUAGAGUCAGGUUUUGGGGUAAGGGUUGGUUAGGAUAAGGGGUUAGAGUUAGGUUUUGGGGUAAG